rnacentral:rRNA from 1 species
AGCGGCGGACGGGUGAGUAAUGCCUGGGAAUAUGCCCUGAUGUGGGGGAUAACUAUUGGAAACGAUAGCUAAUACCGCAUAAUCUCUUCGGAGCAAAGAGGGGGACCUUCGGGCCUCUCGCGUCAGGAUUAGCCCAGGUGGGAUUAGCUUGUUGGUGAGGUAAUGGCUCACCAAGGCAACGAUCCCUAGCUGGUCUGAGAGGAUGAUCAGCCACACUGGAACUGGGACACGGUCCAGACUCCUACGGGAGGCAGCAGUGGGGAAUAUUGCACAAUGGGGGAAACCCUGAUGCAGCCAUGCCGCGUGUGUGAAGAAGGCCUUCGGGUUGUAAAGCACUUUCAGUAGGGAGGAAGGUAGUGUAGUUAACACCUGCAUUAUUUGACGUUACCUACAGAAGAAGCACCGGCUAACUCCGUGCCGGCAGCCGCGGUAAUACGGAGGGUGCGAGCGUUAAUCGGAAUUACUGGGCGUAAAGCGCAUGCAGGCGGCCUGUUAAGUCAGAUGUGAAAGCCCGGGGCUUAACCUCGGAAUUGCAUUUGAAACUGGCAGG